CCUCUGGUAGCUCAGUUGGUAGAGCGGUAGACUGUAGAUCCAUAGGUCGCUGGUUCAAAUCCGGCCCAGAGGA